rnacentral:lncRNA from 1 species
UAUUUUUAAAGAUUACUUUUAUUUUUAAAUAACAAGCCUAUUAAGAAUGUUAAGUGUACACGCAUCCACAAAGCCAUGCAAGGCAGUCCUAACCUCUGUCAUGUGGAAGCAUUGCCUGUUCUUGAAACAUUCAUGAAGAGUCUUUUGUCUCAUCCUCUAAGUACCUGGGACUGACUCUGGACUCGCCUCAAUUACUCAGUUUCAGAACUGGAAAAAAAAUGAAUCACAAUGAAUUUUUUAAGCAGAGAUCAAGCUGUUUUCCUGGCAUUGGGUCCUGUUGAAUCUCCUCCUGGUUCCUCAUUACACCGGGCUCUUGCUCUGGCUGAAGUCGCCACAGCAGAGCAGAGGAUGCUUGGAGCCGGAGCUUUCAAAUGCAGUGGCUGGGACUGGCGAGAGGUCAGGCUGCCAUGGCAGGGGGUUUAAAGCGGGUGCAGGAGGAGGAAAUGAGCUGCUUUUCUGCUGUUUUGUGCAAGUCUACUUCACACGGUGAUCCACAAAGUGGCAAAACACCGUGCCAAGGAAAAGACACGCAGCCAGGAGCGACCGUUCCUUCUCUGGCAGCCCUGCAUGGAGGAGAAACUUCCACACGCGACCCUGCCCUGCCUCAGGAAGUGUGGUUCAAAGAGGGGAAGGAAAUGAGAUGGAAAAGGGCGGGGGGAAGGCUCAUUUACUGCUGGGGAGCUGCCUCUAGACCCAUGGGGAAAGCCAGCAUUAGGGCUAGGGAGAGAUUACCACUGUUUACUGAGAAGCUUAGCGGGAAACACAUGGGGAAAGUCAUAUGGUCGGUCUGUAAGAAUUCAUCCAUGUUCCCGUUCUCCUCCCAUUCUCUCACAGCCUGGAAGUUGCCCUCUGAGGAGACCAUGCCACAGGGACAGCAGCAGGAGGAGGCAGAGCAGACGGGCAGGGAAGCCCUUCAGGGAGCUGAAAUUUCAUGUUGCUCUGUGUCUGUGGGAAUCCCAGCAGCACUGCACCACAGGGAGCGGUACCUCUCAAAGUGAUGUUUCUGCAUUUGCAACCCUGGCGUGCAGCGUUCCAAGGUGACUUAAUUCAGCAGAGGAUUCACACGCUGACUGGAGCCAUUGGUGUACAUCUUUGUCUGCUGAUACGGUGUCUGCACUAACAUGGAAAUUUUCGUUUCUUGGAAAGUGUUAAAAUCUAAUACAUAAAUGUUGAUUUUUUUUUAAUGUGCUCCUGGGGCUUUUUCAUCUAUGCCAGAAUUAAGUGCAAAGGGAAUUUUUACAGCCGACUUGUAAAUUCCUGACAAGAGGAGUUUAUAAUAGAAGUGUUGACAUAACCUUAACUACAGUGACAACCAAAGCUGGUUUGUUAGGAAAGCAGCAAAUAAUUUUCUUGCAGGAAGGCAGGAGUUGGGCAUAGAAGGUGAGGCAGCUAAAUUUUUUUUUCCCUGAGAAUCCCCGGAGGCUAUUGUGUGAGACAGCACGUGAAAUGAAGCUGAAGCAAAUCGCAUAGCAGGCAGAGGAAGAAACACUCUGGAAUUCGCUCAUUUUCAUGAAGGAGAAGGUGCAGUUAUCCUCUUAUAAUUUUUUUUACAAGCUGUGUUUCUCCCCUCAGAGGUAAUCACGAGGGUCUGACAGCAAGUCGGUGCCUGCUUUUGGCCUUCCAGCUGGCUCUUACUUCGUUCUUUGUCCUGCAGCAGUCAGGAGUGAACUCUGGUGCCUCAGCUCCAUGCCUGCACCAGGAGCAGGAACCAGCCCUUUGUUUGCAAUCUGUCUGUGUCUCUUACAAGCAAUAAUUUUUUUAAAUGCCACUAAAUCAGAUUUAUUUCCUUGAGUCGCCCACAAGAAUUCAAAACCUAAGAACUUAAACACCCAGCAAUAGAUGGACAAGCUUUUGUGUUGGAGGCUGAGCCGUGACCCGAGCUCCUGGUCCAACAGACACUUCUGUCACUUACAGGAGAACUGAGCCUGUUGAGAGACAGAGGUGGGUUUGGCUGAAACCUGAAGCAAAGGAGCCCGUGUAGAGCUGAUUUUAGUGCCUUUAUUUCCCAAAGUCAGGGGUUUGUGUCAUACCCAUCACUUCCCUCCUGUGAGUGAGGGCAAGAGAAGUUUUUCAUCUCUUCUUGCAGACAUUAAAUCGGGAGGGCAGAAGAGAGAUUGUGCCCACGUUCACCAUCCUGCAGCACAACCUGCACAGGGCCGGGCUGUGGCGUUGCUCAGAAGCGGUUCAGAAGUCAUUGCGUGCUCCCAGCCCCUGUCCCACAGCCAUCUGCCAGCUCCUGCCCUCCCUGAUUCUUUGUGAUUACCUUCUAAACGGUGGCCUAUUUCACAAAACGUUUGACUAAGUCUUCCUUACAUCUUCGUUGAAAUUUUGCAUGCAGAGAAGCAGUUAGCUCCCCGGAAAGCAGCAGGAUUUACUGUGAGCUGGCACACUCCGGAGCCGUGAGAGGUGCUGGGAAGAAGGUGUGAAUGGCCGGCUGCCUCCCUGCCCUGUCUGUCUGACCCCAGAGUGUUUGGCAAAACCCUGAAGUAACUUUCCUGGAAACGUGGAAGGUCCAGGGACAGAAUAUUCAGCAUAGAGUAAAUUAAAUAUGAUACUGAAAGCAGAGAAAAGGGCAGCUCUGAAAAUGGGAAAGCCAGAGCUAAAUCUCUCAGUAUUUCCUAAUUAUUUAUGGGCGGCUAUGGCCCACGGAGCUUGCAAUCAAAAUGCAGGAGCUAUUGCUGAGAGACAGAGCAACCCAAGCAGAGGGUGACCGAGCAGCCCUGCUGAAUGCUUCCUGUGAGCAGUGAUGGAUUUGUAACCCCCCUUUGCGCUAUGGCAGGGGUGAAAGGGCAACGGGAGCUGGUCUGGCAGGAUGGCAGAGAGAAGGGAAGAUGGACCAGCAACAACAGCAUAGCACAGAGGUGUGAAGGAAAGCAAAAACUGCUGACGCCUCAUUUGCACUCUCCCCAUUAAAACAAGAUUUUUUAUCCUUCCCUAUAUCCUGGCUUUAUUUCUAAUAAAUACUGAAAUAUAAUCCCCA